UACGGAGGAUCCAAGCGUUAUCCGGAUUUAUUGGGUUUAAAGGGUGCGUAGGCGGCCUAUUAAGUCAGGGGUGAAAGACGGUAGCUCAACUAUCGCAGUGCCUUUGAUACUGAUGGGCUUGAAUGCAGCUGAGGUAGGCGGAAUGUGACAAGUAGCGGUGAAAUGCAUAGAUAUGUCACAGAACACCGAUUGCGAAGGCAGCUUACUAAAGUGUGAUUGACGCUGAGGCACGAAAGCGUGGGGAUCAAACAGG
rnacentral:rRNA from 1 species